UAACACAUGCAAGUCGAGGGGUAGAGUCUUCGGACUUGAGACCGGCGCACGGGUGGCGUAACGCGUAUGCAAUCUACCUUAUACAGGGGAAUAGCCCAGAGAAAUUUGGAUUAAUGCCCCAUAGUGUUAUCGAAUCGCAUGGUUUGAUAACUAAAGUUCCAACGGUAUAAGAUGAGCAUGCGUCCCAUUAGCUAGUUGGUAAGGUAACGGCUUACCAAGGCUACGAUGGGUAGGGGUCCUGAGAGGGAGAUCCCCCACACUGGUACUGAGACACGGACCAGACUCCUACGGGAGGCAGCAGUGAGGAAUAUUGGACAAUGGGCGCAAGCCUGAUCCAGCCAUGCCGCGUGCAGGAUGACGGUCCUAUGGAUUGUAAACUGCUUUUAUACAGGAAGAAACACUCCGACGUGUCGGAGCUUGACGGUACUGUAAGAAUAAGGAUCGGCUAACUCCGUG
rnacentral:rRNA from 1 species